rnacentral:sRNA from 1 species
CGCACCGGGCCUGCCGAGGAGCGCGCGCCCGGCCGGGCUCGGCGCCGGUUCCCCGAGCCUGGGCGGCCGCCGGGCAGCCCCCUCGUCGGACCAUGGCGACUGACAUCACUCCUGAAGCCAUUGGCUUCUUGUCUGCUGUUGGGGUCUUUAUUGUUCUUCUGGCUGUCCUCUUCCUCUUCAUCAACAAGAAGCUGUGUUUUGAAACAAUAGGAGGCCUUCCUUUCCUGGAGCAUCGAGGGAAAAGAAAGCACUCUAAAGACAAGACUGGGAUUCACAAGGGGCUGGCUGGAAGUUUUGAGAGUGAAAUAUUCACAGCCAUUAAGAGACCUCCAAAUUAAUUUCUCAACAUGCUUAUUCUAUAGUUCACAUUUAAUCCAGAGCACUGAAGGAACUGAACAAGUGGACACUGUAGACAUCAGAUAGCUGGCCAUGGUGUUGGCCAUGGCGUCUCAGGAUGCUCAGAACUUCUUCCAGCCUUUCUCUUCCUGGAUAUCUCGGGUUUAUGAAGCUCUCCAGCAAGCAGGAGAUAUGUUAUCUGCUUCGCUGGUUAACAUAAGCAAACAAGACUCUAAAUUGAGUGACAAACUAGAUCAGGACUUAGAUAAUAUUCAGAUUCAGGAAACGUACUUUGAAGAUGAAGAACAAGACAAUGAUUGGAGUCAAGAGGAUGCAAAUUCCUUGUUUCUUGAAGUGGAUCAUUUCUCAUGUUGUAAUAGUGAUUUGCAGGACUCUGCCCAAAAUUCAAGCCCAAGGCUUAGCCAACAUGCAAAGGACUCCUGUUCCACAAUGUCCCAGUGGCCCAAUUGGGCCAGUGAUGACCACAAGUUACCACAUGUGCUUUCUUCUAUUGCGGAGGAAGAGCAUCACCUU